AGUCGUCGGCCGAAGACCAGCCAUGGCGAUCUCCCUCCGCCUCCUCCUCCCCCUUCUCCUCCUCCUCCACCUCUUACACUUCUCGGCCUCCUCGUCCUCGGGGGUGCACGACGUCCUCAAGGAUCACGGCCUCCCCAAGGGCCUCAUCCCGCACUCCGCCAGGGACUACUCGCUCGCCGACGACGGCCAGUUCGUGGUGCAUCUCAAGGCCCCCUGCUACGUCCAGUUCUCCGACCUCGUCUACUACGACCAGACCAUCACAGGCAAGCUCUCCUACGGCGCCAUCACCGACCUCGACGGCAUCCAGGUCAAGAAGCUCUUCGUCUGGUUCCCCGUCUCGGCCGUCAAGGCCCACCCGGAAUCCAAGACCAUCGAGUUCAAGGUGGGGUUCCUCUCUCAGUCGUUUCCCCUUAAGGAGUUCAAGGACGUUCCCGAUUGCGAGAAGAAGACGAGGAC
rnacentral:lncRNA from 1 species